rnacentral:rRNA from 1 species
UACGUAGGGGGCGAGCGUUGUCCGGAUUUAUUGGGCGUAAAGCGCAUGCAGGCGGUCCUGUAAGUUUGGAGUGACAGUUUCCGGCUCAACCGGGAAAGUGCUUUGAAAACUGCGGGACUUGAGGGCUUCAGAGGGACACGGAAUUCCGGGUGGAGUGGUGAAAUGCGUAGAUAUCCGGAGGAACACCAGUGGCGAAGGCGGUUACCUGGAGCUUUGCUGACGCUGAUGCGCGAAAGCGUGGGGAGCGAUCCGG